GCUUAGAGCUUUUGCAAGACGAAGCCUGGUGGGAGGGAGUUAAGGGAUGUGCCUUUAAGGGGGACGAUGGGACCCCAGUCCCGUCUUGUGUUUUUCUCUGUUUCCCAGUGGCCGUGAGGCAGGUGCUACAAGUGUAGCAGCUGACACCGAGACUCCGUCUGUGAUUGGAGCUGCACUCUUCAGCCUCUGGGCCCAGGAAGGAAGCUGUAUCUCACUGCUGCUCUUGCCCGAAUCACGUACGGUACAGGGGUGCGCGAACUGUACCUAGGGUGUAACACAAAAUUGGGUGUUACAAGAGAGUUCUGCUCUCUCAAGGUUGUUGUCAACAGGUGUGGCUAACAGCCGGUGAGUACUCCAGGAAUAGAGAAGUAGAUCUGUUCCUACUUCAA